rnacentral:rRNA from 1 species
UACGGGGGGGGGUAAGCGUUGUUCGGACUUACUGGGCGUAAAGGGCUCGUAGGCGGCCAACUAAGUCAUACGUGAAAUCCCUCAGCUUAACUGGGGAACUGCGUGUGAUACUGGAUGGCUUGGAUUUGGGAGAGGGAUGCGGAAUUCCAGGUGUAGCGGUGAAAUGCGUAGAUAUCUGGAGGAACACCGGUGGCGAAGGCGGCAUCCUGGACCAAUAUUGACGCUGAGGAGCGAAAGCCAGGGGAGCAAACGGG